rnacentral:lncRNA from 1 species
CCUCGGUGCGUGAGACAGGAGAGGACCCCGGAGGGCCUGGACGGGUGCCGCCCUCCAACCCCCGGACUGGCCUGUUCCCGGGGAUAUCACAGUACAGGGCUCCUGGGUGGGAAGCUUAUAACCAAACUCCUUCCUCAGCCGGAGGAGGGCCCUGAGAAAUCCCUGGAAGCAGGCGAUUGGAAGGAACUGAGAGCAGAACUCAGGAGAGCGAGAUCUGGGGCACACGUUCAAGGAUUGGUUCCAGACGUCCACGAGCAAGCCAGGACGAAGCCCUUUCCCGCCAAACCACGGAAGGCUGGGAGACAAGCAGCGCCUGCCCCAACUCCGGGAGUGGGAACCCGGGAGAAGACUGGAGGGGCUCUGGAAACACUGGCAGGAAUUUCCUUGUCGUGAGAAGACCGACGGGCGUCUGCAGCGGUGGAGACAACUACAAACAGACUUGGGGCCGGGAGGAGGGCGGGAGGAGGGGUGGCGGGGGCCAGCUUUGAUCGCUUCAACUCUGUUGUAAUUUUGUCUUCUCCACAUUAGCCAAAAUAGUCAGCCCUAGCUAGGGGUUCUGUUCGGCGGAGUCCCCUCCCCCCCACCCCUCCACCCCCGCGUCCUGUGCACGCGGGGAGCUGGGUCGCAGCUCCUCCCCAGUCGCGCCUGAAACUUCAAGGGCUCCUGGUCCUGUGUUCCUGCCGUAAUUAGGAGGCCACACAGCUCUCCAGCACUGCGUUACACAAGUAUGUGAGUCCUCCUCCCCCUCUCCGGGGACAGACCCGGGGAAGGACGGCAGCUGGGACCGCCCCGGGCGGUGUCCUCCGUUGGGGGAGUGGCUUCGCUGUGACCCCCGGCUGCUCCUCCCGGCCUCGGUCUUUCUAAGCUCUUCCUUAGAAAGUAGAGAAAGGGGCAAAGAAUGUGCAUCUCGCCACCCACCGGACAAGCCAGGCGAGCCUGUGUCUGUGCUUGAAAAGUUUUCUAAAUAAAUUGCUCUGGUGGUUCCAAGCGGUGAUGAACAGAGGCUGAACCCGGGGGCUUUCUGCAGAACAGUGCAAUGGAUGUAAAGAAGCUGGAGCCGUCCUUCCCCCAGCCUUUCCCUUUUCUUCCCCCCUGUAAAUCAGCCAUAUAAAUCAUUCGCAUUGUUUAAGGUACAUUGAUCAAUCUAAUGGCUUGUAAUAGGCUCCUAAUUGCCACUUGCAGGGUUCUGCAGGUUCCUGUUUGAACAGGGAAGGUUUCGGUUCCAGCCAAAGCCCACCUUAAUCCUGAGGCUGGAUGAUUACAGACCCAGGAAGAGCACCACAGUGGCCAGGCCACUGCAGUCUCAGUGCCUCAGGGGAGGGAGGAGGGGAGGGGGGGGGCUUGCUGGAGAUAUUUACUAUUCUUUUCUUUUUUCUUUUCUUUUCAAAGCCCACUUCCAAAUUAGCAAUUUUCUCUCUCUCUCCUUUUCUUUAACAAAUUACUAAUUCUCUAAUGAGCGAAGCCCAGGCUAUGAUUUAUUGAUUAUUGUUUAUACCAGACAAGAAACCUUCCUUAUUUGCAUCCUUUAUGUCUGUCUGUACAGUAAAAAUCUCCUUGGCGGCACACUGGUAUUGUCUUAGGCAUACCUUUUCUUUUUAUUUAUUUAUUUCUAACAUGGUAACCCCGGGAAGCUGUGAUAGGAAAUCAUAGGGGGGGAGGGGCAUGCUAAAAAGAAGGAAGAAGCAGCCAAACUUUCUCCAGUAUGGAGUCCUGGAGAUAUGCCUACACUCCUGUUUAACAUCCUGUGCUUGUAGUGUCUCCUCCAAGCCCUGGAGGGAGAAGGUUGAGUUGGAAGUAUCCUCAAAAGUUGCCUAUGAAAGAGUCUAACUGAGGAAACUGGUACCCUGGCUGGAAGUUGCUAAACGAUGAUCAUCGGAAUCCUCUGGCCUUUGGCUUUUUUUUUUUUUUUUUUUUUUUGUUAGCUGGAAAGAUUAAUGUUCCCAAGAUGGUUCCAUUUAAGUUGGCUGAGACAACAAAUUGAACAAAUUGUGCCUUAUUUUAAUAGAGAUGCUCUAAAAAAGAAGAAAGCCAACACCGAAUGACACAUUUGCUUAGGUCUGAGACCCCUCUGUGGUAGUUGGUAAUGGAGGGAGGAAGGUAAAACUCCUAGCCGAAUAGGCCCCCCAUAGUUUCCGAGUAAUGCAGUAAACAAAUCUAUGAUGCUUGUUGAAUAAUCUUCCAAUAAUUGCAGUCAUUAAAAUCAUCACACAGUCUACAGUCACCUUCCUUCCUUUGACACACCAGAGUCUUUCCUUUAAUUGUUAAUGCAUUUUUGGCUCAGAUAAACAGAUCAAGGCAGGCUUAAAAUAUAAGGCCCAGAUACAUCCAGCAGCAGAAAAUUAGUUGUGUAGCAAAUGUUUGGAGUGUACUUAAUACACUAGGGGUUUUCACUUUCUCCAGUAGACCUCGCAGGCAAGAAGGAUUUGCAUCUCCUGCCACCCCUAAAUAGCAGUAUCACUUCUGAGGUAGAGAAAAGAUCCUUCCAGGCUCUUUUCUAUGCGAGGGUUGGGUUGGAAUUAAGGCGUUAUAGAACAAGUAUUAAAUGAAAGCUCAGCAGAAAUUGUGGGAGAGUUCCUCAAUUUUCAAUUAAUUUUCUCCAUUCAUUUGAUCUCAAGCCUUGCGCUUUUUAAAAUAUAAAUAUGUGUUAACUAGAAAAGAUUCCCUUCUAAUCAAAAGCUGCAUUUCAUUUGCACCCACAACUGGCAAGCUCCAACUGUGGAAAGGAUUCACUGCACUCAACAGGCGCUUCCGUCUGUACCCGUUUCCUUCGCCCUUGUUCGUGGCAGGCGACUAUGGUACACAGGGGGCAGCUUUUUUUUUUUUUAACCCAAGUUAUUAAUGUAUCUCCCCAAUCCCCACAUCGUGCUGACCUGAUAAUCACUGCUCUAGUGUAGAUCAUGCAAAUGAAAAGCAUAAUUAACUGAGCAAAUGAUUCAAAAAGGGAGCGCCGUGGCUUACCAAAUAAGUAAAUAAAGGCAGGUGG